AUACGGAGGGUGCAAGCGUUAUCCGGAAUCACUGGGUUUAAAGGGUGCGUAGGCGGCCUGGUAAGUCAGAGGUGAAAUACACGAGCUUAACUGGUGAAUUGCCUUUGAAACUAUCAAGCUAGAAUUAUGUUGAGGUCAGCGGAAUGAGUCAUGUAGCGGUGAAAUGCAUAGAUAUGACUUAGAACACCAAUUGCGUAGGCAGCUGGCUGGGCAUUGAUUGACGCUGAGGCACGAAAGCGUGGGGAGCGAACAGGAUUAGAAACCCCAGUAGUCC
rnacentral:rRNA from 1 species